GUGUUGGUAGUUUAAAAAGAACAUAACGUUGAAGCUGUUAAGGAAAAUUGUUUUCUAACACA
rnacentral:tRNA from 1 species